UCCUCCUGGCUCGAAACAUAGCUCACUUGGCUGAUGAAAUUGGUUCCCAGACAUCCUUGCUACUGGAAAUACAUUCAUUGCAACAGGAAGUAAAAAAGACGCAACAUGUUUGCAACAAAGUGGUUGGGGACUCUGACAGAUUAUCUAUCAGACAGAAUUGCUCCGAGCUUUCACACUGCUGUGGAGA